CUUUCCCUCUUUCUUCAGGCCUAACACAUGCAAGUCGAACGGUAACAGGAAGAAGCUUGCUUCUUUGCUGACGAGUGGCGGACGGGUGAGUAAUGUCUGGGAAACUGCCUGAUGGAGGGGGAUAACUACUGGAAACGGUAGCUAAUACCGCAUAACGUCGCAAGACCAAAGAGGGGGACCUUCGGGCCUCUUGCCAUCGGAUGUGCCCAGAUGGGAUUAGCUAGUAGGUGGGGUAACGGCUCACCUAGGCGACGAUCCCUAGCUGGUCUGAGAGGAUGACCAGCCACACUGGAACUGAGACACGGUCCAGACUCCUACGGGAGGCAGCAGUGGGGAAUAUUGCACAAUGGGCGCAAGCCUGAUGCAGCCAUGCCGCGUGUAUGAAGAAGGCCUUCGGGUUGUAAAGUACUUUCAGCGGGGAGGAAGGGAGUAAAGUUAAUACCUUGGCUCAUUGACGUUACCCGCAGAAGAAGCACCGGCUAACUCCGUG
rnacentral:rRNA from 1 species